UACGGAGGGUGCGAGCGUUGUCCGGAAUCACUGGGCGUAAAGGGCGCGUAGGCGGCCGUGUAAGUCACUUGUGAAAUCCCGGGGCUCAACUCCGGGGCUGCAGGUGAGACUGCAUGGCUAGAGCUCGGUAGAGGCAAGUGGAAUUCCCGGUGUAGCGGUGGAAUGCGUAGAUAUCGGGAAGAACACCGGUGGCGAAGGCGGCUUGCUGGGCCGUAGCUGACGCUGAGGCGCGAAAGCGUGGGGAGCAAACGGG
rnacentral:rRNA from 1 species